rnacentral:tRNA from 1 species
CUUCCUAUAGCUCAAUGGUGGAGCUUCUGACUUUUAAUUAGAAGGUUCUAGGUUCGAGUCCUAGUAGGAAGA